CCUACGGGUGGCAGCAGUGGGGGAUAUUGCACAAUGGGGGAAACCCUGAUGCAGCGACGCCGCGUGAGUGAAGAAGUAUUUCGGUAUGUAAAGCUCUAUCAGCAGGGAAGAAAAUGACAGUACCUGACCAAGAAGCCCCGGCUAACUACGUGCCAGCAGCCGCGGUAAUACGUAGGGGGCAAGCGUUAUCCGGAUUUACUGGGUGUAAAGGGAGCGUAGACGGUUAUGUAAGUCUGGAGUGAAAGCCCGGGGCCCAACCCCGGGACUGCUUUGGAAACUGUGUAACUGGAGUACAGGAGGGGCAGGCGGAAUUCCUGGUGUAGCGGUGAAAUGCUUAGAUAUCAGGAGGAACAUCGGUGGCGUAAGCGCUUUACUGGGCCGUAAUUGACGCUGAGGAACGAAAGCCAGGGUAGCAAAUGGGAUUAGAUACCCCAGUAGUC
rnacentral:rRNA from 1 species